GGCUAACUACGUGCCAGCAGCCGCGGUAAUACGUAGGGGGCGAGCGUUGUCCGGAUUCAUUGGGCGUAAAGGGCGCGUAGGCGGCCCGGAAGGCCGGGGGUGAAAGCGCGGGGCCCAACCCCGCAAGCGCCCCCGGGACCCCCGGGCUCGGGUCCCGCAGGGGGUGGCGGAACUCCCGGUGUAGCGGUGGAAUGCGCAGAUAUCGGGAGGAACACCGGUGGCGAAGGCGGCCACCUGGGCGGCGACCGACGCUGAGGCGCGAGAGCCGGGGGAGCGAACAGGAUUAGAUACCCUGGUAGUCCCGGCCGUAAACGAUGGGCGCUAGGUGUGGGCCCGAGAGGGCCCGUGCCGCAGCCAACGCAUUAAGCGCCCCGCCUGGGGAGUACGGCCGCAGGAAUUGACGGGGGCCCGCACAAGCGGCGGAGCAUGUGGCUUAAUUCGAAGCGACGCGAAGAACCUUACCCGGGCUUGACGUGGCGGGAAAAGCCGGGGAGACCCGGUGUGCGGAAGCGCCCGCCGCAGGUGGUGCAUGGCUGUCGUCAGCUCGUGCCGUGAGGUGUUGGGUUAAGUCCCGCAACGAGCGCAACCCCCGCCCCGCGUUGCCAUCGGGUAGUGCCGGGCACCCGCGGGGGACCGCCGGGGCCAACCCGGAGGAAGGUGGGGACGACGUCAAGUCAUCAUGCCCCUCACGCCCGGGGCUGCACACGUGCUACAAUGGCCGGCACAGAGGGAUGCGACCCCGCGAGGGGGAGCGGACCCCGCAAAGCCGGCCCCAGUUCGGACCGGGGGCUGCAACCCGCCCCCGCGAAGCCGGAGUCGCUAGUAAUCGCGGAUCAGCACGCCGCGGUGAAUGUGUUCCCGGGCCUUGUACACACCGCCCGUCACACCACCCGAG
rnacentral:rRNA from 1 species